UGAAGAUUAAUAGGGAAGAUGCUUACAGCUCUCACAACAGCUGCUGGAAAGUGUUCCUAUCUCAGGUUUUAAUUACACGUAUUUAUACAGUAAAAAAUUCCUAAAUGCAGCAUAGCCUGUAGUAUGCAACAAUUUUGAGCAUUUAUGAGAUUCAGGCAAUUAAGAGUCUAAACUUUCAAAUGUUUCCAGAUGGCACACUGAUUAACAAUUGUGCGAAUUUAAUAUUUGUUUAAAUGCACUACUCUGUGAAACACUUCUUAAUAGUAGAUGAACGCGUUGGAAUGAAUCUAGGAACAACUUUUCUUCAAGCACAACUUGCCUCCUUGCCUGAAGAAGUGGAAAUCUUAUUAGCUGAUUAUAUAGACCAAAAGCAGAAGCAGAGAAGUGACACAGGUCCCAUGGUAUUCAUGCAAGCCACUUACAACAUCAGUCUCCCUGCUCUUGCAAGUGAACCUACUUGUAAGGACAUUUCCUUGGGGCUAAUGGCUUUAUGAAUGUUGACAUCUGUUGCAUGCAGUAAAUUGAAGAUGAAGGAACUAAAAGUAUUUUCCAGCAAGACCACUUCUGGUGCAUCAGUUCCAAGUUCUUCUGGCAGGAAAGAUCUUCCUGUGGUCACACAGCAUCUGACAUCUUCCCCAUCAUGUGCCCCAUGUUACAAAGCCCACUGCAUUGAAGAUGAAACCACAGGGAUUAGUCCUGAUUGUACAAUGCCAUGUGAACACGAAGGAUGUUUAUAGUUUCAAAAAUAUUUCCUCUUUCUCCCGGGCUACAUUUUUCAGACCAAUCCUGACCUGUUUUGUAAAAGAAGAUAUAUUCAGUAAGACCACAGACCAUCCACAGAGCUUUUUGGUCUCCAACAAUCUCCAGUUAAUGACUGCCUGUUGGGAAAAAGCAUAAAAAGGAAAAUGUACACUGAUGUUCCCACAUUUUAGCUUUCCAGCUUCCUACAAUCUGUGGCUAUGCAGUUUCCUGACCUGGGGGUUAUUUCUUUGUCUAUCACUCUGUGGUGGAUUUUCCUUCCAUGUUUUUAUCUAAUUGCUUUUUGAACCCGUGAAAACUUAUGACACUCACAACAUCCCAUGGCAAUGAGUUUCAUAGUUUAAUUACGUGCUUCAUGAAAAAGUGUUUUCCUUUAAUCAUUUUGAACCCACCUUCAUUUGAUACCUCCAAGAUUUUGUAUUACAAGAAAUUGCUCUUUCUUCACUCUUUCCAUGUUUGUCAUGAUUUCAUUGGCAUCUGUCACAUCCUUGAAAAAUUACUUUCCUUGCUGAAGAGACUCAUUUUAGUUUAUCUCCCUUAACAUGGAACCUCUUUCAUAUCUUUAAGUAUCUUGGCUAUUUCUUUCUUUAUUUUAUAUUUUUUUUACCCUGUUUAUAUAGAAAGACAUCUCAUACAGUAAUUUGUACCUCCCUAAGCAUCAUUUUAUCAUUCAAGUACAGGAGAACUUUAUACCCACUUUUGGCUGCAAAGAUGUGAAUCUGCAGAGAGUUUGGUUCUCCACAUUCAAUAAAUAUUAAGCAGUUUCUAUUUAUCAUGGAAAAAAUUCUAUUCUGGCUUGUGAUGUGGGUUCCAUAUUAAAAAAAAAAAAAGUAUUUAUUUAAUAUUUGUUUUGAUUAUUCCAUCUGAUGUUCUCCAAUCUGGUGGAGAGAAAACAAUAUGUUCUGUUAAUGACUAUGUUUUUAAUGUCUGAUGAAUUUUCUUCUGUGAGAGAAGGACACAGCUCUUUCAAACUCAGC
ensembl:lncRNA